rnacentral:rRNA from 1 species
UACGAAGGGUGCAAGCGUUACUCGGAAUUACUGGGCGUAAAGCGUGCGUAGGUGGUUUGUUAAGUCUGAUGUGAAAGCCCCGGGCUCAACCUGGGAACUGCAUUGGAAACUGGCAAGCUCGAGUAUGGCAGAGGGGGGUGGAAUUCCGCGUGUAGCAGUGAAAUGCGUAGAGAUGCGGAGGAACACCGAUGGCGAAGGCAGCCCCCUGGGCCAAUACUGACGCUCAGGCACGAAAGCGUGGGGAGCAAACAGG